rnacentral:lncRNA from 1 species
CCUAAACCAGAGUUGCCAGCAUUACCUUCUGUUCCUACUAUUAUCCCAAGUUUGCCUAAACCGGAGGAAUUGCCAACACUUCCAAAACCUGAAUUGCCACCUCUACCUCAACUUCCUACACUACCUAAACCUGAAUUGCCACCUCUACCUCAACUUCCUACACUACCUAAACCUGAAUUGCCACCUCUACCUCAACUUCCUACACUACCUAAACCUGAGUUGCCAACUUUGCCACCACUUCCGGAAGUCCCCACUUUUCCUAAACUUGUUGAAGUUCCAACGUUGCCAAAGCCUGAAUUGCCCAAGCUUGAAGUACCAAAACUGCCUGAAUUGCCUAUUGUGCCAAAACCUGAGUUGCCACUGCCAUCUCUUCCCAUACCAGAACUUCCUAAAGUGCCUGAAUUGCCACCCCUGCCCAAACCUGAAGUGCCAAUAUCGCCACCCAUGCCAUAAGUUUCUAUGUUGCCUAUUAUAUCCCCACCAUUCGAAAGGACAUACCAUUCCCUUAUCUCAUCCUAUCCCACAACUAUGCCUAAAUAUUUUCUGAUACUCUACUAUUACUUGGAGUUCCACCUUGUAUUGUACGAUGACUUUGAAUCGACAUGAGAAUUAUAUAUAGGGUGUCCUCUGCCCUUUAUUUUUUUUUUUUUAUUACUUUUUUUUUUUUUUUUUGCUUUAUUGAGGAAUGUUUGAUGUGGUGUAAUUUUUUUUUUUUUAAUUUAUCUAUUUUGCAAUUGUUUUUCCUUUUUCUAUAUGAAAAUUCUCGUGUUGCAUGGAUUGUGAAUAUACAUAAGUAUCAAAC